rnacentral:lncRNA from 10 species
GGCGGCAGGGGCGGCCCCGGGCCAGCAGUGGCCUCGGCACGGGGCCGACGGCUGCCGCCCGCCGGAUCGAGCGGCAGCGCGGAGCCAGAGGAAGACGAAGGCGACAAAGAAGCUCAGGCCCAGAGUGCGGACAUGACCUAUCAAAGGUCACAGAGCAAGUUACCAGUGAAGCCAGGACUUGAACCCAGGCCUAUGACUCCGAAGCCAG